rnacentral:tRNA from 1 species
GCCCCUGUAGCUCAGUUGGAUAGAGCAUCGGCCUUCUAAGCCGACGGUCCCUGGUUCGAGCCCAGGUGGGGGCGCCU